UACUCCAGAGGGUGUCACUCACAUUGCCUAAAGCAUGAUUGUCACCUUUUUGAGUAGA
rnacentral:pre_miRNA from 1 species